UACGUAGGGUCCGAGCGUUGUCCGGAAUUACUGGGCGUAAAGAGCUCGUAGGCGGUUUGUCGCGUUGUUCGUGAAAACCUGAGGCUUAACCUUGGGCGUGCGGGCGAUACGGGCAGACUGGAGUACUGCAGGGGAGACUGGAAUUCCUGGUGUAGCGGUGGAAUGCGCAGAUAUCAGGAGGAACACCGGUGGCGAAGGCGGGUCUCUGGGCAGUAACUGACGCUGAGGAGCGAAAGCGUGGGUAGCAAACAGG
rnacentral:rRNA from 1 species